GAGAGAGGAUGUGUGCUGGGCCUUGGAGGAAGGGGGCCGAGACCGGGCCUUACUUCUGUAACGAUACUGUGAGGCAUCGGAAGGCCAGCCUGUUGUGUCCGUUUUGAAGAAUGAACGGAGACCAGAAUUCAGAUGUUUAUGCCCAAGAAAAGCAGGAUUUCGUUCAGCACUUCUCCCAGAUCGUUAGGGUGCUGACUGAGGAUGAGAUGGGGCACCCAGAGAUAGGAGAUGCUAUUGCCCGGCUCAAGGAGGUCCUGGAGUACAAUGCCAUUGGAGGCAAGUAUAACCGGGGUUUGACGGUGGUAGUAGCAUUCCGGGAGCUGGUGGAGCCAAGGAAACAGGAUGCUGAUAGUCUCCAGCGGGCCUGGACUGUGGGCUGGUGUGUGGAACUGCUGCAAGCUUUCUUCCUGGUGGCAGAUGACAUCAUGGAUUCAUCCCUUACCCGCCGGGGACAGAUCUGCUGGUAUCAGAAGCCAGGCGUGGGUUUGGAUGCCAUCAAUGAUGCUAACCUCCUGGAAGCAUGUAUCUACCGCCUGCUGAAGCUCUAUUGCCGGGAGCAGCCCUAUUACCUGAACCUGAUCGAGCUCUUCCUGCAGAGUUCCUAUCAGACUGAGAUUGGGCAGACCCUGGACCUCCUCACAGCCCCCCAGGGCAAUGUGGAUCUUGUCAGAUUCACUGAAAAGAGGUGAGGGGAGGUGAGGGACAGCGCGAACCAUGUCUGGACAGCGAGGGAGGGCUCAGGAUGC
rnacentral:sRNA from 1 species